rnacentral:rRNA from 1 species
ACGAAGGGGGCUAGCGUUGCUCGGAAUCACUGGGCGUAAAGGGCGCGUAGGCGGACUCUUAAGUCGGGGGUGAAAGCCCAGGGCUCAACCCUGGAAUUGCCUUCGAUACUGAGAGUCUUGAGUUCGGAAGAGGUUGGUGGAACUGCGAGUGUAGAGGUGAAAUUCGUAGAUAUUCGCAAGAACACCAGUGGCGAAGGCGGCCAACUGGUCCGAUACUGACGCUGAGGCGCGAAAGCUAGGGGAGCAAACGGGA